CACCUCGAUUAGACUGAUAGGCUAUUAAUCCCCCAAUUCAAAUUAACAUGAAAACAUGCAUUAUUAGCCUGUCAUUAUUUCUAUCAUUGAUAGCGCCUACACUUUCUUUCGCUGUUUCGGACUUCUAACGAGGUAAGGAUAAUAAGGAAGACUUGCGGGUGAUUCACAGUUCGAUAUAGUGAAGGAGUUUUCCAUCACAGCUCAUCGAGAUGAUGUGAGUUAACAUAGUGUGUUGUCCUAGCAUUGUUGUUCUAGCAAUUCUUGCUUGACAAAUUGCUCUUUGCUAAGAAACUAUGUUUGUUUCCUUUUUUUUAAACAACCACAGUAAUUGUUGCCCAGAUAAAGGAACGUAUGAGUUGGACCGUUAAGCAUAUUAAGUAUGCUGCUGCUAUAGUGUGUCAAAGCCUUUUGUGCAUGUCAGUUUAAGAUGCAGGUGUCUUUGACAGACAUUGUCUUUAACUGUCACAACAAAUGUAUUACUGAGAAACACAAAUAAUCCCCAAUAAAAGGAUGUCUCGAUGGCUCAGCUGGUUGGAGCAUGGCACUGGCAGCACCAUUGUUACAACUACUUUUUGGUGCUAAGUUGCUUUGAAUGAAAGCUUCUGCUAAAUCAUUAUACAUACACUCAUUUGACAUUCUAUGAUCAAGAUAAUUACAGUAAAUUCCCUUUGAGAAAAGGUCCAAUGGGCUUUGUAGGUGUCAUAAGCCGAACAAAUAUCCGCAAUAUUCCCGCUGUACACAUUAAUACGCAAAGAAUGGAAUGCAAGACACAAAGCGCUGUUCUCUGGAGUCUGACUUGAUCUACUUCCACCCUGAUGACUCAGGAAUAAUCAUCCAUGUUGCACCAUAAAAUGACUCUAACCCACCCCCACACACACACGCAUUAUGGUAUUUAUUUCAGUGCUAUUCAUCAGUCAGAUUUCACACAAUGAUAGUUAUCCUAUGCCUUGUCUUAAUCUUGAAAUACUUUCCCCUUGUGUGCUGAAAAUUCUGAACACCCUUGGAGAGUGUGGUAAUGGCCAGUGAUCAGCCAUUAUCGGCCAGGGAUCACCUCCUCAGGCCGCAUAGUGAAGAGACGAUUUCAUCAGCUGAAUGAUGACCCAGAGCAAGAGAUAUUCCAGACAGUGGAGUAUUAGAAUGAGCUUGACCUUCUGGCUGUUGUGGAGGUGACCCACAGAGAGGAUGAGGAUUAGGCCCAAGUCAGACUCCACACAACAACACUGAAGCAUUACUGAAGAGGGUUCCGCUUGUAGAGUCAUGGGGAUGCGACUCACAGCUACAAGCUGUUCUUUGACAGAGAUACGAUUGUUCACAUUGAACAGACAAAGAAUAAUAACUUAUAUGCCAUGUCUACAAAAUCAGUUGUGGACAAGCAGAUGAGUGAAAUGACUUGAAGCUGGGAUAAUCAUGGGACAUUCCUUUCAACUGCUAAUGAUAUAAUAAUACAAAUAUUCCUAAAAUAGCCCUGUUGAAUAUGUUUUAAUAGUUAUUUUUUUACACUUAUUUAUUUUCCAAUAAUGACUACAUGCUGUCAUCCUGU